UACGUAGGGGGGCUAGCGUUGUCCGGAAUCAUUGGGCGUAAAGAGCGUGUAGGCGGCCCCGGUAAGUCCGCUGUGAAAGUCGGGGGGCUCAACCCUCGAAUGCCGGUGGAUACUGUCGGGCUAGAGUGCGGAAGAGGCGAGUGGAAUUCCUGGUGUAGCGGUGAAAUGCGCAGAUAUCAGGAGGAACACCAAUUGCGAAGGCAGCUCGCUGGGACGUAACUGACGCUGAGACGCGAAAGCGUGGGGAGCAAACAGG
rnacentral:rRNA from 1 species